CCAUCCACAUGGUUGUGGCCUUUUCGUGGCUGGAUGGAUAAGUAACCUCGGCGAAUACCCCAGGUGAAACUAACAACAAC
rnacentral:ribozyme from 1 species